GCCUCAUCGCAGGCCCUUCGCCAGCUCCUUCUUUAGUGUCCGUUACUUGGAUCACGUCCCGCCCCCCCGGUUUGCUUUCCCAGGCAAACAUGCCUCCAUCGGCUGAGCUCACCGGGGCCCGGGCACGGCACCGCCACUUCGCCCUCGCCCCCAGCGGGGCUGCAGCUGCCGACUGCUGGCCCCGCCCCCUCCUCACACCGCCUAUCACCGGAGGCCCCGCCCCGCGCUUCCUCGCCGUUGCCAUAGUAACCAGCACAACCGCCGCCGCGGCUCCCGCGGGCGUCCCUGACAAACGACGCGCGCGUCCCCUGCCGCGCCACCAUCGCCCGGCGAGGUGCUGCCGCCCGCCCGCUGCCAGCGGCCUGCAGCCCCUGCUCAAGACGCACCGCCGAGCCCCUCAGCGCUCCCAGCCUGCUCGCCCCGCCCCCUGCCCGGAAAGGAAAGCGAACGCUUUCUGUCCUAUCCUGUCCUGUCAGGAAAGGAAAGCAAACGCUAACUGCUGCGUAGAAGACAACACCUCAGAGGCCUGCUGCCCGGGACGGGCGACGGUUGUCCGUUCUCGGCGAUUCUCUCCAGACAAUCGACGUUGUCGUCCUUUGCAGCCACUGCCAGAACUGCUGCUUCUUACUACCUCCCUGCUAGGACCUAGCGCGGCUUGCAUUUCACUGGCUAGUUCGAGCCCCGCCUUGCAGAACGGUUCUGUUCCAUUGGCCGCGGGGGACGGGCUGACCAUGUGUUCUCGCGGAGCAGCUUGGGACGUGUGGUUCGCUCACAGGGAGGGAGGCUCAGACUCCCAGCUGCCUCCGCGGGGGCGGGACGCCCGGAAGUGCGGGGCUUGUGCUGCGCUCAGAUGCUUCAGGAAGGCAGGGUACAGUCAUACCCAGAAUCUUGUCUGUGUCCAUCCCAAAUCUACAGCUGGUCCUGUGGAUCAUGGUAGAAUCAUAGAAUCACAGAAAUCACUCAAAGCAGGACCAUCCCCAGGUAGAUCUAAGUACCAAAGCUUUGCAAAGCAGGCAUGAAAACCUUCCAAGGAUGGAGAUUCCACCACCUCGCCAGGUAACCUGUUCCAGUGCUUUACUACCCUCAGUGAGAGGUUUUUCCUGAUAUCUGACAUAAACUUCCCUUGCUGCAACUUGAGACCGUUCCUGCUCGUUCUGUCAUCUGCCACCACUGAGAACAGUCUAGCUCCAUCCUCUUUCCAACCUUCCAUCAGGUAGUUGAAGGCUGCUAUCAGAUCCCCCAUCAGCCUUCUCAUAAGCUUCCUUUUGUUUUUAAGCUCGCCAAAGAGUUCUCUGCUAAGCCAAGCUGGUUG
rnacentral:lncRNA from 1 species